rnacentral:rRNA from 1 species
UACAGAGGGUGCAAGCGUUGUCCGGAAUUAUUGGGCGUAAAGAGCUCGUAGGCGGUCUGUCGCGUCUGCUGUGAAAACUCGGGGCUUAACCCCGGGCCUGCAGUGGGUACGGGCAGACUAGAGUGCGGUAGGGGAGACUGGAAUUCCUGGUGUAGCGGUGAAAUGCGCAGAUAUCAGGAGGAACACCGGUGGCGAAGGCGGGUCUCUGGGCCGUAACUGACGCUGAGGAGCGAAAGCGUGGGGAGCGAACAGG